AGCUCCAGAUGUAUUGAGUUAUAACUUCCACCACCUUAAUCCAACAAGGUUUGCUAUUAGAUACAAGUAAAUUUUUUUCACAUGGGUCAAGCCAUUCUUCACUGUGCAUGUAUCUCAAAGAGUUUCAGUCAUAAUGCCUUCUUUCUAAUAACUGCUAUUUCCAUUUUUGCUUUCCUAUGACCAUCACUAUUCUAGGGAACAUUUGCUGUCUCAACAGCUCACCGCAUUUUUAAACGGAUUUUUUUCUUCAUAUUCUGAACAAAUGUAAAAAUGAUUUCUGGAAAGAAUAGUUUUCUUUUCUUUCUCUUUUAAUUAUGAAAGUGGAUUCUAGUAUUUGAACAUUUUCACAAAUAUGUGUAGAAUUUGCCCUUUUCAUAGGUUUAGAUUUAAAGACAUUGAUUUGCUCCUUGUAGUUAACUAAUUAGGAGUCUUUCAAUUGAUUUUCACGAAAGUAGUAAUGGGACUUUAAUCCAAAUACAUUGCAAUUGCAAGUAGCAAAGAAGGGAGGAUUUUCAAGCAUUUAAAACUAUCUGGAUUUUAUUGUGAUAUUAUGUACUUCUCAAGAUAAAAUUUUGUCUGGCAUUGAAGAUGGUUAAGAAAAUCUACAUUUCAAGUGUGAAUCCAACACCUCCACUUAUAAACAUAGUCUGCUUAAAAGGCUACCCUCUCUCGUGCCUGUCUUGAGAUGUAACCAACAUGCUUUAUAAUAAAAAUUAUUAUUAUUACUUUAAGAUGCCUAUAUGAACCAUUCUGCAGGAAAAAUAACAAAGCUAUUCAUAAUACAUUGCAAUUACAAUAAAAUAGAAAUUACCUUGGCUCAUUUUUAAAUUCCGUUUUUGUUGUUGUUGUUGUUGUUAUAACAAUGGAAAACAAGGCUCCCUGUUCUCUUUUCUUUCUUAGGAAGUCAGAAAGAAAUCAGAAAGAAGAAAAAUGUCAGGUUUGAUAUCCAGGUAGCUGAAUACAUGGAAGCCUUCAGAAGUCCCAAGUCUAUACAAAACUGAAGCAAAGAGGCUUCCUCCCUGAUAUAAAUCAUUUCGGUUGCAAUCCUUGCCUGAGAUUAAUAUCAGAAGAUCUUAUUUCUGAACAAGGUUUUUCACGAAGAGUUUCCUUGCUCUUCGAAGCUUUUUGAAAACUCCGGCAAACAUGCAAACUUGCCAGUCAUAGAACCAUCCCAAGAUGAAGCACUACAGAAGAAAAGCAUCAGGAGACUUAGGGAUGGGCUAUAAAGAUUGUUGCCAAUACAAGCCUCCUAUUCAAAAAUAUUGCUUGUGGGUUGGAAAGUUUGGUAUUCUUUAAAAUUCUUUAAUAAUACAUUAAAGAUUUUUUUUUUAAAGUUGGACUGUGAAGAACUAGUCAGGAGGAAAAUCAACUCAUUUGAGCUGUGGCAUUGGGGAAAGCUCCAGUGCAUUCUUUAGACAGCAAAGGUAACAAAGAAGCAAGUACUGGAGCAUAUAAAACCAGACACAUCGCUGGAAGGCAGAAUCAGAAAAUUCCAUGUUGCUUAUUUCAGCCAUGUAAUGCAAUCAAACACUGGAAAAGGCAAUUAUGCUUGGAAUGGUCAGCAGUAAAAGGAACAAAGCCACCCAAAAAUACAGUGGCUAGAUACCAUCAAAGCUGACAUCAGCCAGGGCACAAAACAACUGGAAGAAGCCACACAAGAACGGAAAAUAUGGAAAAAGCUGGUUCACAGAAUCAGCACGAGUUGUAUAUGAUUGAAUGAAUAGCACAGCAUGGUUAAUAUAUAAGUACCUACAGAGUUAGAGUAUCCAUGAGUGAACAAACCUGGUUCAAAUUUAUUUUUUCUUUUAAAAUGAUAUUGAGCAUAGGGUUUUAUUCUUUUAUUAUAGAUUUUCUACAUUUCUUCCUCAAAAUCAUGGAUAACCAUGUAACUUCUGGGUUAUUCCUCAUUUGAACCAGAAAGCAUUAAAUUAGCAUUUAAUGAUAAUUAUCUCAUCUCGUCCGUGUUCUGAAAUCUUUCAAAAUGUUUUCAUGGAUGUAUGCAUGCAUGAUGAUACAAUUACAAUAAAUGUCAUUUAGUAUAAUCCUUAUAAAUAUCAUUAUUACUCUGAUGUAUCUACUGUUUUUGCUGAGCAGCAAAGGAAAUAAAACAUCAAAAGUUGAGGAAUAGAAAAAGACAUCAGUGAACACCUCACAAAGGCAACUAUGUAAUACUCCAGAUGUUACUGAACUUUAUAAUUCUUAUUCAUGUCAGCCAGCUUGAUCCAAGCAACUGGAAUUACAGAAUUUGUAAUUCAAUAAUAUUGGGAAGCCCCCAACCCUGCUCUAUGGCCAAUGCUCUUUCCUCAACUAAAUUAAUAGAUUGGCAGCAGAAGUUCACUUCUCAACAAGAUUGCUAAAAUAACCAUGUAUCUUUACAAAGCAUAACAUCUUAGUUUUGUCUAUAAUUUGUACACCAUGCCAUCAUAUGCUGGGGAAUGUUGCAAACAAGGCAUAAGGAGAACAAUCUUUUUCUUCCCAUCUUGCUCUCUUGGGAACUUUUUACUUUGCUGAAAGCUAAUAACAAGGCACUGUUUGGAAAUAUUUUUCUCUUAUUAGACACUCUUCAUGGAACAUUUCAAAUGUUUAAUUGAAUUGGGGCUUUAUUGCUCUACAUAUAUAUGUAUGCCCACUCUUUCUCACUUAAUUAUUUCAUAUGCUUUUGUUCCUUUGGAGGAAUGUUCUGUUUUCAAUCAAACAAGAACAGUAGCAACUUGACAGAGAGAUUUACUGAUUAUUGAGAGAGAUUCAUAUUUUUUGCUCCAGUAGAGACUGAUAAUAUGUUUGGGGACUACAAUUGUUAAGAUAAAAGGUUCCCACACAGUAUUUCAUGUACUGUUUUUUAAAGGGACAGAUUGAUAUGAAUAGAAAAAGUGGAAGAGUGGUUUCUUGUUUAAAUGCUGGCAUGUAUUUGUGGGCAUGCUAACAAUGUAGGAAAUACAUUGCUGGCCAAAUAGUAAAGCAUGUUAGAAGUGGUUUUGCAUAUGUUUUAGAGCAGUGGUCCCCAGCCCUGGUCCGUGGACCAGUACCGGGCCAUGGCAUGCCAGCAACUGGACCACACAAACAAGCAAAGCCCCAUCUGCAGGAUGCAGGCAGCACGCAAAACCACGCCCCCUCCAGUCCACGGAAAAACCUCUCUCCAUGGAACCGAUCCCUGGUGCACAGAAGAUUGGGGACCUUUGAUCUAGAGAACCAUACAAGCAGGAAAAAGUCCCACACUCUCCGCUUGUUUGUGCAACACAUACAAGGGAGAAAACAAUUCCAUUCUCGUGUCAAACAGUAAUAAUAAUCAAGUAGAUAUAUAAUAGCUACUUCUUACAAGAAUGUAUUAUCAAAAUUAAUAUUUGCUAUUCUAGAGGAUUGCUAUUCUCAAACUAGUCAUUGAAAAGUAUGGAGAGAUAUAGUGAACAAUAUUUGUGUACAUUUGUUUUAGUUGCUUCCCUGUCUUAUCUCAUAUUUUAAUAUCUUUGGCUUAUUAUUUCCUUCUUUCUACAAAGAAGUUUCAAUGGUUGCCAAUUGCUUCAUGGAUGUAACCAGGUUUUUAAUUUAAAUAAAACUGGAUGAGAGGGGAAAGCUCUACUCCAUUCUUCUACUUCCUAUUCUCAUUAAAUUUGCUAAAAGAGAAUUUGUUUUAGAAAUUCUUUCAAGGAAAAGAAUAUUUCGGAUAAAUGUUUGCAAAUGGAAUCAGAUGUUUUGCACUUAUUUACUUGAUGGCCAGAGAUGUAUGUCCUAUCUUUUCCCCUACAAUCACUCUUCCAGAGGUUUGCUAUAACUUUUAUUUCUUGCAUUUCAAUUAUUUCCCUCACCAGCCUCAGCUACUGAGAAAACAUUUAAUAAUUUCUUCUUUCCCUGGAAAAAGUGAUCACCCAUUCUCUGGUAGUGAUUUGGUAGUGAAAUUGGUAGUGAAAUUCAAAAGGCUCUUUAUGAUCCAAUCUAGUUCUGAAGCUUGAAACCCUGAGACAACUUUGCUUCCAGAGUUACACAAUUGGUUCAGAUUUCAACAAUGUAGAAUGUUGUCUUUUUCAGCAGCUAUUUAUCAAAUACACAGAAAGUGCAUCUGUUGUAUAGCCUACUAAGCAUGGAAUCCAAUCUCUUCAGACUUGAAUUUGACCUGUUCUCUUUCUAAUCAUGGGUGGGUUUUUUUUUCUCCCCCACACCUUUUUAACCAGACCUUAGCACACUUUUAUGAUGUUUUUAAUUUAUAUAUGUAUUUAAUGAUAUUUUAAUUACUUCUUUUAAUUGCCUGGGCCAUUCAGUCAGAGAAAAAGGCAGGAUAUAAAUGCACAAGUAAAUAAUAAUGAGGUGAAAACCAUGUCCCUGUCUUGGUGGGGAUGAGGGAAGGGAAUAUAAUCUGAAUUCUAUCAAAGCCCUCUCACUUUCUAGUUUUAUCUCUUGGUUGACAUAUUUUCCAAACUUCUUUUAAGCCCAAGGGAAACAAAGUUUUCCCAUGAAUGAGUUCAGCUGCAACUCCCCAAGGAAUCUAAAGGACCAUUUGUAUAAAACAGUGAUUCUGAAACAUCAAGUGUCUUCCAGAGCAGGUAGAAAAGAAGUAUUCCUUUUCAGAUGCUUACUUAGGCCCAGAGUGAAUCUAAUGCAGCAUUUACUUUGCAUACAGUUAGAAAAUGGUCAGCUGAUACUGAGAAGAAAAAAAUCUUCUUUCAAUUUGUCUUCUGAUUAAUAACUCAAUCUACUCUCUAAAUGAACUAAGAAGUUCUCCUGAAAUCUUCUACAUGUGCAAGAUCAAUCCUACUAGCAGGGAGAACCCUAUACAAGAGCUGCUAGGCGCAGUGUUUCUCAACCUUGACAAUUUUAAGGCAUGUGGACUUCAACUCCCAGAAUUCCACAGCCAGCAAUGCCUUACACAUGCCUUAAAAUUGUCAAGGUUGAGAAACACUGUUAGUGGGACAGCAAUGAAUGCCUCCCUGCAAGUCUCAUGCAUGCUGUACUCACUCAUACUUAUUAAAGAGUAUUCGGCUCCACAGCUAGCCCAUUCCUUCUGGUAUGAUGGUGCAGUAAGAUUCAGCUAUCAAUCCAAAUGGUUACUGUGCAUGGAGCUGGGAUGAGAAACCAUCCCGAACUUUGUCUUAGGUGGGAAAACACCUUUGGCCCAUUCUAGGUCUCGGUUCAUACAACAUACUAAAUCUGCCUCUGAAGCUACACAUUUUGUGGUUUUACACAAUACCUUGUAUAUAAUUAACCAAGAGGCUGACUUCAUAUAAUGUGUAAGCCGUCAAAAUAAAACUGAAGUUGAAUGGUAGUCAAGGUUAGUAUGAGUCACCAAUGUUAGCAUGCUAUGCUGCUCUACUCUAAAUGAUUCUUGUGUGUGGAAAACGGAUGACAAAGAGCAGCAAAUAGCAGCAACAUCUACAGUUGGAUAGCAACAUUAUUCAUCAACAUGGUUGAUUGCAAAAAGGUAAAUAUGGUUGGAUUUGGUUAGUAGUCUGAUGGAAGGAAGCCAUGAAAUCCCAAGGCUGGGAGGUUGAAAAAGUCUCCUGGAAGUCGUAAACCACUUUGGCAUUCUUGUUAAAAUCAAACACCCUGCAGGAAAGAAAUAACUUGAGCAGCUGCAGCAAGGAUUCAGCUGCCAACACAUGCCUCAGGUUGUUGCACUACCAGUUCAUCCAUAAUUACAAGACACACACCUUUAGUUUUACCUAAUAUAACAAAUGGCAAGGGGUUGUAGUUGUCCUCUGAAACAGUCAGAAGGGUCUACCUUUGCUCUUCAGUCUCACUCUGGGCUCAAGGAAUGGGCCCACAACACUGCCCGGAGUCUGCUGCAAUCUAAUCCCAUCCGUAGACCUAGCACCAAGGGAGCACCUGCUCUG